AGAGAAAGGAAAGCGCGAGGAGCCGCCGCCACCACCAGCGCAGCAGUCCUGGAGCUGUGAGGAGAUUCGGGCCGUCACCCUGCCUCCCCUGCGUCCCGCCACCGGCCGCUUCCGUCCUCGGACCCAUUCCAACAAUCUCGUAAAACAUGGUGGAUUACUAUGAAGUUCUAGGCGUGCAGAGACAUGCCUCACCCGAGGAUAUUAAAAAGGCAUAUCGGAAACUGGCACUGAAGUGGCAUCCAGAUAAAAAUCCUGAGAAUAAAGAAGAAGCAGAGAGAAAAUUCAAGCAAGUAGCGGAGGCAUAUGAAGUGCUGUCGGAUGCUAAGAAACGGGACAUCUAUGACAAAUAUGGCAAAGAAGGAUUAAAUGGUGGAGGAGGAGGUGGAAGUCAUUUUGACAGUCCAUUUGAAUUUGGCUUCACAUUCCGUAACCCAGAUGAUGUCUUCAGGGAAUUUUUUGGUGGAAGGGACCCAUUUUCAUUUGACUUCUUUGUUGUUUUUGUCUUUUGACUUAUUGAAAGGGAAACACAUUGUAUGUUUACCUCCUUCAUU
rnacentral:sRNA from 1 species